AUGCUGGCUUCGGCAGCACAUAUACUAAAAUCGGAACAAUACAGAGAAGAUUAGCAUGGCCCCUGUGCAAGGAUGACAUGCAAAUCCAUGAAGCGUUCCAUAUUUUC
ensembl:snRNA U6 U6 spliceosomal RNA